UACGGGGGGGGCAAGCGUUGUUCGGAAUUACUGGGCGUAAAGGGCUCGUAGGUGGCCAACUAAGUCAGGGGUGAAAUCCUGGAGCUCAACUCCAGAACUGCCUUUGAUACUGAAGAUCUUGAGUUCGGGAGAGGUGAGUGGAACUGCGAGUGUAGAGGUGAAAUUCGUAGAUAUUCGCAAGAACACCAGUGGCGAAGGCGGCUCACUGGCCCGAUACUGACGCUGAGGCACGAAAGCGUGGGGAGCAAACGGG
rnacentral:rRNA from 1 species